GGAUGUGAGGGUGAUCUAACAAUAUCUGUUACCCACGGAUCACCAUGGUUGUUUCAGCUGAUCUGACUGGUGAGAUGAGUGUCCUACUCCUCCCUCACCACUCAUGUGCCCUCCUGAAGCUGUGGGUGUGAUGGAGGGGGAUGGCCUUUUCUUAUUAGAGGCUGCUGUUCUAUCGCGGGCAUGUGAGUAGCUUUGCUCCCCUGUUCGAACUGCCAAAUUAACUCCCAAAGAUCAUCUAGUGAGUUUUUCUAUUAUGAGGAACAGAAAAUGGGAGCAAAACCAGAAGAGACAGGUGGGUCUGUAGAGAAUUUGAAAGUAGCAGGAUUUUUUCAAUA
rnacentral:snRNA from 1 species